rnacentral:rRNA from 1 species
AUGGCCGUCGCCGACGCGGUGCUUCCCUCACCGCCGCCCCCGCCGGCGCGGAUCGUCGUCGUGAUGCUGCUGCUCUUGCGCUUCGCCCGCGUCCUACGCGUCGCGGCGGGGGCCCUCACCUACGUGUGCUCGUCGGUCGCGUGUGUCUCCUCCGGGGCCGCGGCUGCGCUGCUCGUCGCGCACCGCGCCUGGGGCACGCGCUCCGGCCCCUUCCUGUUCCUCCAGGCGCUCAUGUACGGGGGUCUCAAGGUCUGCGUCCUCAGCGUCCUUGCGUCGUUCUCGCUUGCCGUCCUGAUGGUGUGCGUCCAGCGCGUGGCAUACGAGAUUGCAGUUCGAACUGGAUCCACUUCGGAAUACAAUAAGAGCCGCUUCAUACCAAUCAAGCGGGAGCCGCUUUCACACUUGUUUAGGCUUCCGCGCACCGCGGUGCUUGGAGUGGCCGUGGAUGUGGCUUUCUUCCUGCUAACGGUCGCUGGUCUUCUGGUAGCGACGAUGUCGCCGCACGUGGAGGGUUCGAAAUCUCAUGGUCAAAUGGCCGGUUCCGUGAUCAUGGAAGUGGGGUUAUUUGGUAUGCUUGUGACAGCUUGCUUUGUUACCAUCCCAGCGUUCAUUCUGCAUGCUUGGAGGAAUGACCAGGCGGAAUGGAAAGCACGGUCACAGUGCUGUUGA